rnacentral:tRNA from 1 species
UCCCGCGGCAUCGGUGUUCGUUAGGGAGGUGGAAGCGUGUCCAAACCCGAAUGGGGCGUCAAGCGGACCUGCACAA